UACGUAGGUGGCAAGCGUUGUCCGGAUUUACUGGGCGUAAAGGAUGCGUAGGCGGACAUUUAAGUCAGAUGUGAAAUACCCGAGCUUAACUUGGGUGCUGCACUUGAAACUGGGUGUCUAGAGUGCAGGAGAGGUAAGUGGAAUUCCUAGUGUAGCGGUGAAAUGCGUAGAGAUUAGGAAGAACACCAGUGGCGAAGGCGACUUACUGGACUGUAACUGACGCUGAGGCGCGAAAGCUAGGGGAGCAAACGGG
rnacentral:rRNA from 1 species